rnacentral:misc_RNA from 1 species
AACACUGUUAACCUGCGGUACCUGCGGAAGGAUCAUUACUGAGUCACGUGCUCAAACAACCCUUCUGUGGACCUGAAAUAAAACCGUUGCCUCGGCGGGCGGUCCCCCCCAAACCAACCCCACGUGGUGGGUUAGGGGAGACCAGACAGUCCGGUACGCUUAAGGCGUCCGGCGCCAGCCGCUGGCCCCAAACAAUUAAACUCUAGUAAUCUUUACCUUCUGAAUUUCAAUAUUUAAAAA